rnacentral:rRNA from 1 species
AGCUUGCUCCCGGAUGUUAGCGGCGGACGGGUGAGUAACACGUGGGUAACCUGCCUGUAAGACUGGGAUAACUCCGGGAAACCGGAGCUAAUACCGGAUAGUUCCUUGAACCGCAUGGUUCAAGGAUGAAAGACGGUUUCGGCUGUCACUUACAGAUGGACCCGCGGCGCAUUAGCUAGUUGGUGGGGUAAUGGCUCACCAAGGCGACGAUGCGUACCCGACCUGAGAGGGUGAUCGGCCACACUGGGACUGAGACACGGCCCAGACUCCUACGGGAGGCAGCAGUAGGGAAUCUUCCGCAAUGGACGAAAGUCUGACGGAGCAACGCCGCGUGAGUGAUGAAGGUUUUCGGAUCGUAAAGCUCUGUUGUUAGGGAAGAACAAGUGCGAGAGUAACUGCUCGCACCUUGACGGUACCUAACCAGAAAGCCACGGCUAACUACGUGCCAGCAGCCGCGGUAAUACGUAGGUGGCAAGCGUUGUCCGGAAUUAUUGGGCGUAAAGGGCUCGCAGGCGGUUUCUUAAGUCUGAUGUGAAAGCCCCCGGCUCAACCGGGGAGGGUCAUUGGAAACUGGGAAACUUGAGUGCAGAAGAGGAGAGUGGAAUUCCACGUGUAGCGGUGAAAUGCGUAGAGAUGUGGAGGAACACCAGUGGCGAAGGCGACUCUCUGGUCUGUAACUGAC